rnacentral:rRNA from 1 species
ACGGCUCAGUAACACGUGGCUAAUCUGCCCUUGGGACAAGAACAACCCCGGGAAACUGGGGCUAAUUCUCGAUAGGUGAAGAACUCUGGAAUGAGUCUUCGCUUAAAAGAGGCUGGGGUUAUGCUCUCCAGUUUCGCCCAAGGAUGAGGCCGCGGCCGAUCAGGUUGUUGGUGAGGUAAUGGCUCACCAAGCCUUUUACCGGUGCGGGCCGUGAGAGCGGGAGCCCGGAGAUGGGCACUUAGACAAGGGCCCAGGCCCUACGGGGCGCAGCAGUCGCGAAAACUUUGCAAUAAGCGAAAGCUUGACAGGGCUAUCCCGAGUGCCAUCCGCUGAGGAAGGCUCUUACCCAGUCUAGAACGCUGGGGGAAUAAGGAGAGGGCAAGUCUGGUGUCAGCCGCCGCGGUAAUACCAGCUCUCCGAGUGGUGUGGAUGUUUAUUGGGCCUAAAGCAUCCGUAGCUGGCCAGGUGAGUCCCCUGUUAAAUCCACCGAAUUAAUCGUUGGAUUGCGGGGGAUACUGCUUGGCUAGGGGACGAGAGAGGCAGACGGUAUUUCCGGGGUAGGGGUGAAAUCCUAUAAUCCCGGGAAGACCACCAGUGGCGAAGGCUGUCUGCUAGAACGCGCCCGACGGUGAGGGAUGAAAGCUGGGGGAGCGAACCGGAUUAGAUACCCGGGUAGUCCCAGCUGUAAACGAUGCAGACUAGGUGUUUGGACGGCCACGUGCCGUUCUAGUGCCGCAGGGAAGCUGUUAAGUCUGCCGCCUGGGGAGUACGAUCGCAGGAUUGAAACUUAAAGGAAUUGGCGGGGGAGCAC